UCGUAAUAAUAGAAACAAAACUCUGUAGCCACGUGCUUGCCGAGUACAGAGGUUGCUCGUAUCUGUCAUCCGCAUUCCAAGGUCGUGGCCCAGCCCUCGCAUCCCAGCUGCUGGUUUCACGAAGGAGUUUGUGUUUGAAUUCACGAUAUAGACGGCUGCCUUCCACCGGUUUCACCCGUCACUAGUAUUUGCAACCUGUCUCAACAAAAAUACACCAUGUCUCGCACGGUGGUCUUUUGCCUGCUGUUUGUCACUGUUGGCUUCGCUACUGCGGCGUCACUCAGAGGAAACAACAGACCAAGGUUCUGCUACCUGCCUCCAGAUAGUGGUCUGUGUUAUGGCCACUUUCCGUCAUACCACUACUCGCAUCAAAGAGGUGACUGCGUGCAGUUCGUCUAUGGGGGAUGUCAAGGAAACAGAAACCGGUUCAAUUCCUACCAGGAGUGCAUUCGCAUCUGUCGAACCUAAGCGUAUUACUUUCAGGAGGAUAGAAUCUUGCUCACCAAAGAUAUCGUUCCGCACUAUCGGUUCUUCGAGACAGUGCCCAUUUACUGGAUCCUGAGCAUUGUGUGCGUUGAGCUGUAAUCACAUCGUACCGUGGAUAUCCUCACCGUUACAGCGCGAGCUCUCUGGAUAUUUACUUUCUAAUAAAGCCUGUAGAGAUAUGCUACAAAAAGCCUA